UCCUGUCCUCCAUCAUUCCUGGAAGAUCCCCAACAGUGAUGCAUUGAUCUCAUUUACAAAUUCUGUCAGUGCACUGAUUAACAGUUCCCAAGUUUAUCACUCAGGGCAUAAAUAACUCUGGUUCUGGAAGAUAUUAAUUCAUUUGCAGUGACUAAUUUGCCUCCUAUUUGAUGAUAAUGCCAACUAUUGACUAAGGCAAAAUCCCUCAGCUUGCCAACCAAAAAAAAAUCACUUAUUCAGAAAAUGGCUCAUAUAGGAAAGAAGCAGCUGCUUUUGCAAUUGACACAAAUGAGCCAAAAUUUGUUUCUCUAGAAAAAAAAAUUCAUUCCGGUGAUUCAUUUAGCUUCACUGGUGAGGUUUUGGUGAAGUCAAGAGAAGUGGAAAAUGAAGGAUAAAGGAAUACCAAGAAGGCUGUAAACCUGCAUGACGAAUUCCAGCCCAGAGCAACAUUUUUAUGAUCCAGUGUCAAGUUCUUGAAAAAUGAAAAAUGAGAGGAAAGAGAGAUUUAACUGUAAUGUGGAUACAUUUUGGACUGGAUGUUACCAAUUGAAUAAGAAUUCCAGACAUUGCUGGAAGCAGAGAUGGACAAGAUGUUACCCACACUGGUUCUAAUACCCGUGACCCAUUUAUCCCAAGGAGAAAUUAUCCAUGUGGCAUACUGGUUUAACAUCUAGACCACCAAACAAAGACUCCACCAUUCUCCUUGAGGAGUAAGCUUUUACACUAACUUCAGCACUAUUCUGAAAUGUCUUUGUCUUACCAGUGCAAAGCUGGCCUAAGGAUUUUAAUACUGAAGUUCACAGUCAAGCAGUAACACCCAAAAUAAACUGUUCUUCCUAAGUAUAAACA
rnacentral:lncRNA from 12 species